rnacentral:rRNA from 1 species
GACGAACCGUGCGAACGUUGUUCGGAAUCACUGGGCUUAAAGGGCGCGUAGGCGGGCUGUCAAGUCUGGGGUGAAAUCCCACGGCUCAACCGUGGAACGGCCUCAGAUACUGACGGCCUCGAGGAAGGUAGGGGCAUGCGGAACUGUAGGUGGAGCGGUGAAAUGCGUUGAUAUCUACAGGAACUCCGGUGGCGAAAGCGGCGUGCUGGACCUUUUCUGACGCUGAGGCGCGAAAGCUAGGGGAGCAAACGGGG